GACGAACGCUGGCGGCGUGGAUUAGGCAUGCAAGUCGGACGGUAGAGCUUUAUCGUAAGAUAGAGUUUGAGAGUGGCGAACGGGUGAGUAACACGUAGGAAUCUACCCUUAAGACGGGGACAACCCAGGGAAACUUGGGCUAAUACCGGAUGAGAGUGCGAGAGAUUGCAUUUAAAAGGAUGGCGAAAGUUGUCGCUUAGGGAUGAGCCUGCGGUCUAUUAGUUAGUUGGCGGGGUAAAGGCCCACCAAGGCGAUGAUAGAUAGGCGGCCUUAACGGGUGGUCGCCCACACUGGGAUUGAGAUACGGCCCAGACUCCUACGGGAGGCAGCAGUCGAGAAUAGUCUACAAUGGCCGAAAGGCUGAUAGUGCGACGCCGCGUGAACGAAGAAGCCCUUCGGGGUGUAAAGUUCUUUUAUAUGUGAGCAGUGCUUUCUAUGUGAACAGCAUGGGGAGAGAGAUAUUAGCAUAUGAAUAAAGCAAACGGCUAACUCCCGUGCCAGCACG
rnacentral:rRNA from 1 species